rnacentral:rRNA from 1 species
UGAGGAAUAUUGCACAAUGGGCGAAAGCCUGAUCCAGCCAUGCCGCGUGUGUGAAGAAGGUCUUAGGAUCGUAAAGCACUUUAAGUUGGGAGGAAGGGCAGUAAAUUAAUACUUUGCUGUUUUGACGUUACCGACAGAAUAAGCACCGGCUAACUCUGUGCCAGCAGCCGCGGUAAUACAGAGGGUGCAAGCGUUAAUCGGAAUUACUGGGCGUAAAGCGCGCGUAGGUGGUUCGUUAAGUUGGAUGUGAAAUCCCCGGGCUCAACCUGGGAACUGCAUUCAAAACUGUCGAGCUAGAGUAUGGUAGAGGGUGGUGGAAUUUCCUGUGUAGCGGUGAAAUGCGUAGAUAUAGGAAGGAACACCAGUGGCGAAGGCGACCACCUGGACUGAUACUGACACUGAGGUGCGAAAGCGUGGGGAGCAAACAGGAUUAGAUACCCCAGUAGUCCCUGAGCGGGCUGGCAAGGCGCAU